rnacentral:rRNA from 1 species
UACGUAGGGGGCUAGCGUUGUCCGGAAUCAUUGGGCGUAAAGCGCGUGUAGGCGGUCCGGUAAGUCCGCUGUGAAAGUCGGAGGCUCAACCCUCGGAUGCCGGUGGAUACUGUCGGGCUUGAGUACGGAAGAGGCGAGUGGAAUUCCUGGUGUAGCGGUGAAAUGCGCAGAUAUCAGGAGGAACACCAAUUGCGAAGGCAGCUCGCUGGGACGUUACUGACGCUGAGACGCGAAAGCGUGGGGAGCAAACAGG